AUUCCACUCUGCGUUGAAGGCGAAGCGUGAGCUUUACUGGAGCGUGUGGAAAAGCAAAUGUAGGUAUAAGUAACGAUAAAGGGGGUGAGAAACCCCCUCGCCGUAAGACUAAGGUUUCCUGAUCAACGCUAAUCGGAUCAGGGUUAGUCGGGUCCUAAGGCUCAGCCGAACGGUGAGGCCGAUGGCAGAACAGGUUAAUAUUCCUGU
rnacentral:rRNA from 1 species